rnacentral:rRNA from 1 species
GUCCUUUUGUGUUAAAUAUAAGGUUUAACCUGCCCACUGAAUAAUUUAAAUGGCCGCAGUAUUUUAACUGUGCAAAGGUAGCAUAAUCAUUAGUUUUUUAAUUAAAAGCUUGUAUGAAAGGUUGGACGAGGUAAAAACUGUCUUUAUUUAAUUAAUUAUAGAAUUUAAUUUUUAAGUUAAAAAGCUUAAAUUUUUUUAAAAGACGAGAAGACCCUAUAGAUCUUUAUAUUUAAUAUUUUAUUUUUAAUUAAGAUUUAUUUAAGUUUUAUUAUAUUAAAUAUUUUAUUGGGGUAAUAAGAAGAUUAAAAAAAUUCUUUUAUAUAUUAUUCAUUGAUUAGUGUUUAAAUGAUCCAAUUUUAUUGAUUAUAAGAAUAAGUUACCUUAGGGAUAACAGCGUAAUUUUUUUAGAGAGUUCAUAUCGAUAAAAAAGUUUGCGACCUCGAUGUUGGAUUAAAGAUUAAUUUAGGUGUAGAUGUUUAAAUUUUUGGUCUGUUCGACCAUUAAAUCUUUACAUGAUCUGAGUUCAGACCGGUGUAAGCCAGGUCGGUUUCUAUCUUUAAUAAUAUAAUAUAUUUUAGUACGAAAGGACCAAAUAUAUAAUAUAUAAAUAUUUUUUAUUUUUGAAUAUUAUUAAUUACUUUGGCAGAUUAGUGUAAUGAAUUUAGAAUUCAUAUAUGUAAGUAUUUACAAGUAAUACUUGUUUUUUAUAGAUUUAUUAUUUUCUUUUAUUUGUAUAUUAUUAUUAAUUAUUUGUGUUUUA